ACCUGGGUGGCUCAGUCGGUUGAGCGUCCGACUUCGGCUCAGGUCAUGAUCUUUUGGUUCGUGGGUUCGAGCCCCACAUCAGGCU
rnacentral:tRNA from 1 species